rnacentral:lncRNA from 1 species
GGCACUCAUUACCCCGAAUACCGAUCGAAACCCCGCAAGGCUUAGCAUCAGCUUCUGCAUCUCUCUAGUGAGCGACAGUUAUUAAAUCUCACAUUUCAAAAAAAAUCAUAAGUCAUUUCCAAAUCAAAACAAUAAAAUAUUACUUUCUGGCUCACAGGGGUAUUUUCGUCAUUUUUCUUCGAAAAUAUCGAAACUCGCCAAAAACAUGGUGUAAAAGCUAAAUAUAUUCAUACAUAUUUUAAAUUAAAUAACUGAAGAAUAAAAUUUCUUUUACAGUGACACGUGGGCCCCCAACUGACUAAGAAAAUGUAGGGUUACGAACCCUUACUUUCUAAGAUGCAACUCCGAGAUUAAUUCUCGUCUUAAUCAUCUAUCAACAAAUUGUCUUGAGCCUAAAAAAUGGAUAGGAAGAAGGGGUGAGAUUAUAAAAUCCCAGUGAGUAGACAGACAUCAUCAAAAUAAUCUAAAGCCGAGUAAUAGGAGACAAUUAAAAUAAUUCAUCUUAACCCAUAUAAAUAAUUGGAUUUCAUCCAAUUACUCAACAUGGCUUAUGCACUUUUCAAAAACUUGGCCCUUGCCAAAAAUCCAUUCUCGGGGAUACCCCGUGAAGGCAUCUUACCGAGACCGCCAAGGCUAUUUAUUGUCACACACACAAACACAUUUCACCUCUGACAACACAGCCGUCCUUCGGUGUUGACUGAGUCCCAGUUUCACGUGGUGGCUAGCGUGAAAUGUACUCAAAUCCUACCUCGGGAGUUAUCCUACGCGCCUCUCCAAUCAAGGUAAGCUCAAUAAUUGAGAACCGUGCCCCUCUAAUUAGGUUGGCCCACGGAACCCCCGUCACUGUAGUACCCACUUUAUAAUCCACCAACCAAUAAAAUCAUAAUAGUAUGACAUGGCUCACUUAACACAUUCAAGGCAAAUCAAAGCAGUUCACAUAUUCUUUAAAUCAUAAAAAUAACCAGUCAUACCCACAUUUAUCAUAAGCCAUUUAAUGUAAAAUCAUAGAUAAACAACACAAUCAUAGUAUAGGUCUCCAAUUACUCUAUUUUUGAAAUCAUUAUUAAAUUUUCAAAAAUUUUAUAAAAUUAUUUUAUAAAAUCUCAUUUUCCCAUAAAACACAAUAAUUUUCCAAUUAAACCAUUUUUCCAUAAAAUCACACAAUUAAAUAAAUCUACUCUAGAUAAUUAAGACGAUAGUAAGUUUACUCACAGUUCUAGGAGUCGAUAUACUCCUAUUUUCAGUCCGCGGGUACAGUCCUUUACCCGUAUCUAAUGGCUCACCACCUAGCCAUAAUCCAUGGCACAUAUUUCAAUUAAAUUGUGUCUAACAGUCAUAAGCUAUUUCAGGCUCGAUAUAUAUGCAUGAUAUGAAAUGAAAAAUGCACAGGUAGCCAUCUAGACCCGGUAUUGACCUAAGUCGAUUUUUCAUCCAAUAAAUUGGCCAAUGCGUCCAAUUUCACUCCAACUUGCUCCAUUUCUUUUCCAAUCCCUCAAUUCACCAAGCACAACUAAUUAACACACAAUUAGGCAAAAUUUAUCUUCACUUUUCUUCUUGGAACUUUCGGCCAACAAUGGUACACUAACUCCGUGAUUUUUCCUACUUAAUUUUCUCUCCAUAAUUCAUUAAUUCCUACACCAAAAACUAUUAUUUCUUAAUCAAAUCACCUAGAAUAACAUCCCAUUCUUCCUCAUUAUUCACUUAGAGAAUUCGGCUAUUGAUGGGCACCAAACCUUUGGUGGUUUUCUUCACUUGUUUUCAUGCUACACAUCAUUAAUCACCUAAAAACACUAACAUACCUAAAAAUCAAACCAAUCCAAGAUCAUUCUCUCUCCAUACCCAUUUUGACCAGCCAUGAAUUCAUCAUGAAAACAUGUAAUUUAACCAUGGAAAUUAAGGGAAAAUGCAUGGGUAAGGUAAAUCACUAGCAAAAUCAAAGAAAUUUUACCUUUGCUUGAUCAAAUCCUUGAAUUCCAACACUUUCUCUUUGAUUUUUCCCACCUAGGGUUUGUUCUUCCUUGGUUUCUCUUCUCUUCUGGUUUG